rnacentral:rRNA from 1 species
UUUGUGAUUGUAUUUUUUUAAUUUAAUAAAAAAAAUUUUUAUUAUAAUUUAUGGUCCUAUAAAAUAAGCCUAUAAAAAUUUUGUGAUUAAAAAAAAAUAUAUAUUUCAAAAUAAGAAUAGAAACUUAUUAUGUUAUAAAUUUUUUAAGUAGUUUUAAAAACUUAAAAUAAAUGGCAGUAUAUAUAUUCAAAUUAAGGAAUUUUGAAAAUAAUUGAUAACCCUCAAUUUUAUUUACUUUAAAAAUUUUUUUGUAUGGUUGUUUAAAAAUAUUUUAAAAAAUAAAUUUUAAUUCAAAUUUUAUAUAGUAUUUUAAAGGCUUUUUUGAAAUGUAUUAUAAAUUUAAGGUUAAAUUUAAUAAGAUAAUACUUAACAGUAAUAUAUAAAUAUAUAAAAAUGUUUUAUCUUAGGUUCAUAUUGUCCGUCACUCUCAAAAU